GACGAACGCUGGCGGCGUGCUUAACACAUGCAAGUUGAACGGAAAGGCCCUGCUUUUGUGGGGUGCUCGAGUGGCGAACGGGUGAGUAACACGUGAGUAACCUGCCCUUGACUUUGGGAUAACUUCAGGAAACUGGGGCUAAUACCGGAUAGGAGCUCCUGCUGCAUGGUGGGGGUUGGAAAGUUUCGGCGGUUGGGGAUGGACUCGCGGCUUAUCAGCUUGUUGGUGGGGUAGUGGCUUACCAAGGCUUUGACGGGUAGCCGGCCUGAGAGGGUGACCGGCCACAUUGGGACUGAGAUACGGCCCAGACUCCUACGGGAGGCAGCAGUGGGGAAUAUUGCACAAUGGGCGGAAGCCUGAUGCAGCAACGCCGCGUGCGGGAUGACGGCCUUCGGGUUGUAAACCGCUUUCGCCUGUGACGAAGCGUGAGUGAGGGUAAUGGGUAAAGAAGCACGGGCUAACUAGGUG
rnacentral:rRNA from 1 species